rnacentral:rRNA from 1 species
CGUACACUCCUGCGGGAGGCAGCAGUGGGGAAUCUUGCGCAAUGGGCGAAAGCCUGACGCAGCCAUGCCGCGUGAAUGAUGAAGGUCUUAGGAUUGUAAAAUUCUUUCACCGGGGACGAUAAUGACGGUACCCGGAGAAGAAGCCCCGGCUAACUUCGUGCCAGCAGCCGCGGUAAUACGAAGGGGGCUAGCGUUGCUCGGAAUUACUGGGCGUAAAGGGAGCGUAGGCGGACAUUUAAGUCAGGGGUGAAAUCCCGGGGCUCAACCUCGGAAUUGCCUUUGAUACUGGGUGUCUUGAGUAUGAGAGAGGUGUGUGGAACUCCGAGUGUAGAGGUGAAAUUCGUAGAUAUUCGGAAGAACACCAGUGGCGAAGGCGACACACUGGCUCAUUACUGACGCUGAGGCUCGAAAGCGUGGGGAGCAAACAGGAUUAGAAACCCUUGUAGUCCCA